AUUGAACGCUGGCGGCAGGCCUAACACAUGCAAGUCGAGCGAGCGGCGGACGGGUGAGUAAUGUCUGGGAAACUGCCUGUUGGAGGGGGAUAACUACUGGAAACGGUAGCUAAUACCGCAUACCAUCAGAUGUGCCCAGAUGGGAGUAGCUGGUAGGUGGGGUAACGGCUCACCUAGGCGACGAUCCCUAGCUGGUCUGAGAGGAUGACGAGCCACACUGUAACUGAGACACGGUCAAGACUCCUACGGGAGGCAGCAGUGGGUAAUAUUGCGCAAUGGGGGCAAGCCUGAUGCAGACAUGCCGCGUGUGUGAAGAAGGUCUUCGGGUUGUAAAGCACUUUCAGCGGGGAGGCGUUACCCGCAGAAGAAGCACCGGCUAACUCCGUGCCAGCAGCCGCGGUAAUUC
rnacentral:rRNA from 1 species